UUUAACUUGAACAACUCCAUAAUGGUCAAACAGUGUCACUAAAAUUUCCAAAAUAAAAACGUUUUCCUAUCGAAAUAAGGCCCUUUAAUAACAUUUGUAUCGAUGGCAUUGCGAUAUGCACUUCAGUUUUAUUUAAAAAAAAAAAAAAUGAAACUAACGAACGAAUCGAUCAACACCAAUUUUUUUUUCCAUAUGUUCAAUAUGUUACAUUAUGCUGUGAAGACGAGCUUCGUUAAAUAUUUCAUAAUUAAUUAUGGAUGAAUAUGUGAAGACACAACCCAAUUUAUUGUAAAAUGUAAAAUUAAAUUUGUUUUUUCUUUCUCUUUUUUUUCUGUGUUUUUCAGAUUUUUCGAUAAUAUGCAGCGGGAACACUUAACGGAAAAUUUAAAUAAAAAAAAAUAUUCUUGUUUGAAGAAACAAUAAAAAUGAAAAAAAUCAUUAUCAAUCGAAAAGUCACUUGAAACUUUAUUUCUUUAAUUAGAAAAUGUUCGAUUAAAUUAAUCAAUAAAACAUAUUAACGGCACCAACACUUUUUCUAUUUAAUAUUUUAAAAAAUAUAAUGGUAAAUCGACUAAGCAAAGGUGGGCAUAAAUGUAUAAUAAUAUUGUAAGUAUGUUGAAGGUAGGCUUUUUUUCAUUCUGAUAUAUUAGGAGGUUGAUAUCCAAAAGUAAAUAGACCACUUUGAAUAAAAUCGAAAUCAUUACAGAGAAGUGAAAAAUGAAAUUCGGAACCAAUGAACCAGUUAAACGUACAGUGAUUUUUAAACAAAAAAAAAAUUAAAAGAAAACCAUGUUGGAUGAAAGCAAAAUUAUAAAAUUAUUUAAACAAAACAGAAAGAAAAAUAAUAAACCAACGAAAACAAAAAUAAUUAAAAAUAUUUGAACGGAAAAAAAAUUAAAAAAAAAAAGUUCGACAAAAAAAAAUUGUUUUUUGUUUUAACCCAAUUUCUUAAUGUCACAUUGUAAAGGCUCUGAAAGAUGGAUUUUUCAUGAAAAAUGAAUUGCAGAUACUUACCAUUGCUAAAGUGUGAUCGUUUGGUAGCACUAUUUUCCGAAUCACUAUCGAGUGGUCGUUUACGGGUGUCCCCAAUUUCAGGGCUCGGACAUGUUUCCAUUCCUUGGUCGGGUGGAUCA